AGUAAAAGUCGUAACAAGGUUUCCGUAGGUGAACCUGCGGAAGGAUCAUUAAAGAGUAAGGGUGCUCAGCGCCCGACCUCCAACCCUUUGUUGUUAAAACUACCUUGUUGCUUUGGCGGGACCGCUCGGUCUCGAGCCGCUGGGGAUUCGUCCCAGGCGAGCGCCCGCCAGAGUUAAACCAAACUCUUGUUAUCAAAACCGGUCGUCUGAGUAAAAAUUUUGAAUAAAUCAAAACUUUCAACAACGGAUCUCUUGGUUCUCGCAUCGAUGAAGAACGCAGCGAAAUGCGAUAAGUAAUGUGAAUUGCAGAAUUCAGUGAAUCAUCGAAUCUUUGAACGCACAUUGCGCCCCUUGGUAUUCCGAGGGGCAUGCCUGUUCGAGCGUCAUUACACCACUCAAGCUAUGCUUGGUAUUGGGUGCCGUCCUUAGUUGGGCGCGCCUUAAAGACCUCGGCGAGGCCUCACCGGCUUUAGGCGUAGUAGAAUUUAUUCGAACGUCUGUCAAAGGAGAGGACUUCUGCCGACUGAAACCUUUUAUUUUUUCUAGGUUGACCUCGGAUCAGGUAGGGAUACCCGCUGAACUUAAGCAUAUCAAUAAGCGGAGGA
rnacentral:rRNA from 1 species